rnacentral:rRNA from 1 species
GGAAUUGCUAGUAAUCGCGGAUCAGCAUGCCGCGGUGAAUACGUUCCCGGGCCUUGUACACACCGCCCGUCACACCAUGAGAGCCGGUAACACCCGAAGUCAGAAGCCUAACCGCAAGGAGGGCGCUGCCGAAGGUGGGAUUGGUAAUUGGGGUGAAGUCGUAACAAGGUAGC